AUGCCGCGUCGCGUGCGACCACGCACGGGCACGGCCGGCGGCGAGGACCGCCUCAGCACACUACCCGACGAUCUCAUCCGCCUCAUAGUACGCAGGCUGGACACCCGCACCGCGCUGUCCACCGCCGUCCUGGCCAGGCGUUGGGCGCACAUCCCCCGCGAUCUGCCGGAGCUCGACUUCAGG
rnacentral:rRNA from 1 species